UACGGGGGGGGGCAAGCGUUGUUCGGAAUUACUGGGCGUAAAGGGCUCGUAGGCGGCCAACUAAGUCAGACGUGAAAUCCCUCGGCUUAACCGGGGAACUGCGUCUGAUACUGGAUGGCUUGAGUGUGGGAGAGGAAUGCGGAAUUCCAGGUGUAGCGGUGAAAUGCGUAGAUAUCAUUUGGAACGCCAAUGGUGAAAACAGCUUGCUGGGGGUUUGCUGGACGCUGAGACACGAAAGCCAGGGGAGCAA
rnacentral:rRNA from 1 species